rnacentral:rRNA from 1 species
GGAGGGCAAGUCUGGUGCCAGCAGCCGCGGUAAUUCCAGCUCCAAUAGCGUAUAUUAAAGUUGUUGCAGUUAAAAAGCUCGUAGUUGAAACUCUGGCUGUUCGAUCCUCGAGCUCUGUAGCCGAGGACUCGACAGUCAUCCGCUUGCAAAUAUGUGUUCGUCUUUAAUCGGAUGACCAUAUGAGCAAGCAAUUUACCUUGAGAAAAACAGAGUGUUCCAGGCAGGUUUGUCCGGAAUGCAUUAGCAUGGAAUAAUAGAAUAUGACUGAAGUCGAUUUAUUGGUUUGAGGCUUUAGUAAUGAUUAAUAGGAACAGUCGGGGGCAUUGGUACUUGACAGUCAGAGGUGAAAUUCUAGGAUUUGUCAAAGACUAACAAAUGCGAAAGCAUUUGCCAAGGAUGUUUUCAUUAAUCAAGAACGAAAGUUAGGGGAUCAAAGACGAUCAGAUACCGUCCUAGUCUUAACUAUAAACUAUACCGACUCGGAUUCGGAUGAAUCGGUUUUGCACCACCAUGGAGUGGAGUCUGCGGCUUAAUUUGACUCAACACUGGGAAACUCAUCAGGGCAAGAAGAUUUUAGGAUUGACAGAUUGAGAGUUCUUUCUUGAUUGGUCUAGUGGUGGUGCAUGGCCGUUCUUAGUUGGUGGAGUGAUUUGUCUGGUUAAUUCCGUUAACGAACGAGACCUUAACCUGCUAACUAGUACUUCGAUGACAAAUCGAUGUUACUUCUUAGAGGGACUAUGUGAUGUAAUCACAUGGAAGUUUGAGGCAAUAACAGGUCUGUGAUGCCCUUAGAUGUCCUGAGCUGCACGCGUACUACAAUGGUGCUUUCAACGAGCUUUUCCUGAUCCGAAAGGAUUUGGGUAAUCUUUUUAGUGAGCACCGUGCUUGGGAUUGAUCUUUGUAAUUAUGGAUCAUGAACUAGGAAUUCCUAGUAAGCGCAUGUCAUCAUCAUGUGCUGAUUACGUCCCUGCAAAAUGUACACACCGCCCGUCGCUAUUACCGAUUGAGUGUAAAGGUGAACCUUCUCGAUAGACUCACGUUUAGAAAUUAAGUAAACCUUUGCACUUAGAGGAAAUAAAAGUCGUA